rnacentral:rRNA from 1 species
GUGGGGAAUAUUGGACAAUGGGGGGAACCCUGAUCCAGCCAUGCCGCGUGUGUGAAGAAGGUCUUCGGAUUGUAAAGCACUUUAAGUUGGGAGGAAGGGCAGUAAGUUAAUACCUUGCUGUUUUGACGUUACCGACAGAAUAAGCACCGGCUAACUUCGUGCCAGCAGCCGCGGUAAUACGAAGGGUGCAAGCGUUAAUCGGAAUUACUGGGCGUAAAGCGCGCGUAGGUGGUUUUGUAAGUUGGAGGUGAAAUCCCCGGGCUCAACCUGGGAACUGCCUCCAAAACUGCAUGACUAGAGUACGGUAGAGGGUAGUGGAAUUUCCUGUGUAGCGGUGAAAUGCGUAGAUAUAGGAAGGAACACCAGUGGCGAAGGCGACUACCUGGACUGAUACUGACACUGAGGUGCGAAAGCGUGGGGAGCAAACAGGAUUAGAUACCCGUGUAGUCC